rnacentral:rRNA from 1 species
CAGUCGCCACGGGAAUACGGAGGGUGCAAGCGUUAAUCGGAAUUACUGGGCGUAAAGCGCACGCAGGCGGUCUGACAAGUCAGAUGUGAAAUCCCCGGGCUUAACCUGGGAACUGCAUUUGAAACUGGCAAGCUAGAGUCUCGUAGAGGGGGGUAGAAUUCCAGGUGUAGCGGUGAAAUGCGUAGAGAUCUGGAGGAAUACCGGUGGCGAAGGCGGCCCCCUGGACGAAGACUGACGCUCAGGUGCGAAAGCGUGGGGAGCAAACAGGAUUAGAUACCCCGGUAGUCCCUGUCUCUUAUAC